rnacentral:rRNA from 1 species
UUGUGGUCGGUGUACAGGUGGUGCAUGGUUGUCGUCAGCUCGUGUCGUGAGAUGUUGGGUUAAGUCCCGCAACGAGCGCAACCCUCGUCCUAUGUUCGCCAGCGGGUCAUGCCGGGACUCAUGGGAGACUGCCGGGGUCAACUCGGGAGGAAGGUGGGAUGACGUCAAAUCAUCAUGCCCCUUAUGUCUUGGGCUUCACGCAUGCUACAAUGGCCGGUACAAAGGGCUGCGAUACCGCGAGGUGGAGCGAAUCCCAGAAAGCCGGUCUCAGUUCGGAUUGGGGUCUGCAACUCGACCCCAUGAAGUCGGAGUCGCUAGUAAUCGCAGAUCAGCAUGCUGCGGUGAAUACGUUCCCGGGUCUU